rnacentral:rRNA from 1 species
GACGAACGCUGGCGGCGUGCUUGACACAUGCAAGUCGAACGGUGAAGCGCCUUCCUUUUUGGUGGGUGUGGAUGAGUGGCGAACGGGUGAGUAACACGUGAGUAACCUGCCCCCUUCUUCUGGAUAACCGCAUGAAAGUGUGGCUAAUACGGGAUAUUCUGGGUCUGUCGCAUGAUGGGUCUGGGAAAGAUAUUGUUUCGGUGGGGGAUGGGCUCGCGGCCUAUCAGCUUGUUGGUGGGGUGAUGGCCUACCAAGGCGGUGACGGGUAGCCGGCCUGAGAGGGUGGACGGUCACACUGGGACUGAGACACGGCCCAGACUCCUACGGGAGGCAGCAGUGGGGAAUAUUGCACAAUGGGCGCAAGCCUGAUGCAGCGACGCCGCGUGAGGGAUGGAGGCCUUCGGGUUGUGAACCUCUUUCGCCAGUGAAGCAGGCCUGCCUCGUUUGUGGGUGGGUUGACGGUAGCUGGAUAAGAAGCGCCGGCUAACUACGUG